GAUGAACGCUAGCGGCAGUCCUAAUACAUGCAAGUCGAACGGGAUCUGAGGGUAGCUUGCUACCCGAUUUGAGAGUGGCGCACGGGUGCGUAACGCGUGAGCAACCUACCCAUAUCAGGGGGAUAGCCCGAAGAAAUUCGGAUUAACACCGCAUAAUAAUACGCUAACACAUGUUGAUGUAUUUACAUAUUUAUAGGAUAUGGAUGGGCUCGCGUGACAUUAGCUAGUUGGUAAGGUAACGGCUUACCAAGGCGACGAUGUCUAGGGGCUCUGAGAGCAGAAGCCCCACACUGGAGCUAAGACACGGACCGACCUCCUACACGAGGCAGCAGUAAGGAAUAUUAGUCAAUGGGCGCAAGCCUGAACCAGCCAUGCCGCGUGCAGGAUGCCUGCCCUAUGGGUUGUAAACUGCUUUUGUUAGGGAAUAAACCUUCUUACGUGUAAGGAGCUGAAUGUACCUAAAGAAUAAGGAUCGGCUAACUCCGUGCCAGCCGCCGCAGUAA
rnacentral:rRNA from 1 species